UAUAUCCUGCGAUGUACGUUACGGCGCACAAAUGUUUUGAACCAAUGCUGUUUCCAAGGGAGUUCAACAUUGCCCGGCCUCUGGCAAGCCCCCGAAAAGGGUAGCCAAACUCCGGAGCUGCGGACACCCACCUGCCAAGCGGGUUCAGAAACAAGCACGUCGGACGGCAUAGGCGGGUUUUUU
rnacentral:other from 1 species